rnacentral:misc_RNA from 1 species
AAGUCGUAACAAGGUUUCCGUAUGCGGAAGGAUCAUUAACACGUAUCCAAACGUUAAUCUGAUAAAUCAUAGCCCGGAAAGUUGUAGUGAUUCAGAGACCUCUGGCUACGUGCGAACAUUGGAACAGUUACAAUCGAGCGGUAGUUCUAUAGGCAAUGUUUCUCCAAGCAGUCAGUGUCGGAAAGUGUCAUUGAUUGUGCAAGGAUAGCGCUUCUACGAUUCCUGUAGACCGUACACUCGGGCAGGAGCUUUGCCAAAGGGUCCCCAUGCCCCCUAAUAACCCCACAGUUUAAUGUGAAGCUCAAUGUAAUACAUUGGGUAAAAAAACCGAACAACUGUUAACAAUGGAUAUCUUGGUUCUC